GCCCGCAUAGAUCAACACUAGAUCGUCUCUUCACAAUAUUGUUGGCGCGUAUGUUCAGCCUGAUACCGAGAAGACGGAGGUUUGAAUCCUCCUGCGGGCA